rnacentral:rRNA from 1 species
AUUGAACGCUGGCGGCAGGCCUAACACAUGCAAGUCGAACGGUAACAGGAAGAAGCUUGCUUCUUUGCUGACGAGUGGCGGACGGGUGAGUAAUGUCUGGGAAACUGCCUGAUGGAGGGGGAUAACUACUGGAAACGGUAGCUAAUACCGCAUAACGUCGCAAGGCCAAAAAGGGGGACCUUCGGGCCUCUUGCCAUCGGAUGUGCCCAGAUGGGAUUAGCUAGUAGGUGGGGUAACGGCUCACCUAGGCGACGAUCCCUAGCUGGUCUGAGAGGAUGACCAGCCACACUGGAACUGAGACACGGUCCAGACUCCUACGGGAGGCAGCAGUGGGGAAUAUUGCACAAUGGGCGCAAGCCUGAUGCAGCCAUGCCGCGUGUAUGAAGAAGGCCUUCGGGUUGUAAAGUACUUUCAGCGGGGAGGAAGGGAGUAAAGUUAAUACCUUUGCUCAUUGACGUUACCCGCAGAAGAAGCACCGGCUAACUCCGUG